rnacentral:rRNA from 1 species
AUUGAACGCUGGCGGCAGGCCUAACACAUGCAAGUCGGACGGUAGCACAGAGAGCUUGCUCUCGGGUGACGAGUGGCGGACGGGUGAGUAAUGUCUGGGAAACUGCCCGAUGGAGGGGGAUAACUACUGGAAACGGUAGCUAAUACCGCAUAACGUCUUCGGACCAAAGUGGGGGACCUUCGGGCCUCACACCAUCGGAUGUGCCCAGAUGGGAUUAGCUAGUAGGUGGGGUAAUGGCUCACCUAGGCGACGAUCCCUAGCUGGUCUGAGAGGAUGACCAGCCACACUGGAACUGAGACACGGUCCAGACUCCUACGGGAGGCAGCAGUGGGGAAUAUUGCACAAUGGGCGCAAGCCUGAUGCAGCCAUGCCGCGUGUAUGAAGAAGGCCUUCGGGUUGUAAAGUACUUUCAGCGGGGAGGAAGGCGAUGAGGUUAAUAACCGCAUCGAUUGACGUUACCCGCAGAAGAAGCACCGGCUAACUCCGUGCCAGCAGCCGCCGCGG